rnacentral:misc_RNA from 1 species
UCAAACUUGGUCAUUUAGAGGAAGUAAAAGUCGUAACAAGGUAACCGUAGGUGAACCUGCGGUUGGAUCAUUAACAAAUAACAUUGCAUCAGGAUGGCCCUCAAAAGCCUCCCCUGAGUCUCACGCAAGUGAGCACGCAAACAUCCUGUGAACCGUAACAGUCUCUGGCGGCUUGGGCGUUGACGCUCCGAAAGGAACGGCUGCGCCUGUCAGCAUGCGUCCCGUGAGGGAAGCGUGCCGUGGACAACGUCGCCGACCGCUACAAACCAACUUUUACAGUCAAUACCUGACCUCAUUUUUUCACAAACCGUGUUUGUCUAAACCGCAAAUACGAUUGAAAAAACAAAACAACUUUUGGCAACGGAUCUCUUGGCUCUCGCAUCGAUGAAGAACGCAGC